GCUGAGCUAGGUAGCGCUAGCUUGUAACCCUGGCGGGGGCAUUAAGGUGAUGGAAUGUGUACUCUGUGGCAAGAAAAUUUGCCACCACUUCU
rnacentral:SRP_RNA from 1 species